rnacentral:rRNA from 1 species
AUGAAAAUCAUCAGUUGGAACUGCCAGGGACUCGGGAAUGGCCCGGCAGUUCGAUCUCUCCUCGAGUUGGGGAGAGCGGAGGAUCCCGAUGUGUUGUUCUUGGCGGAGACUAGACUCACAGAGAAGGAGUUGGAGAGUUUUCGGUGGAGGCUAGGGCUUGCUAACUUGUGUGCAUGGAACCCAGUCGGGAGGAGCCGAGGGGUUGCAAUGUUCUGGCAAAGA